UGUUAUAUGACUGACGGAACAGUGGAAUUAACCACAGUGAAGUAUAACGAUUCAAAGCCGACCGUCUGGGCG
rnacentral:ncRNA from 1 species